rnacentral:rRNA from 1 species
UACGGAGGGUCCGAGCGUUAAUCGGAAUUACUGGGCGUAAAGCGUGCGCAGGCGGUUUGUUAAGCGAGAUGUGAAAGCCCCCGGGCUCAACCUGGGAAUUGCAUUUCGAACUGGCAAACUAGAGUCUUGUAGAGGGGGUAGGAAUUCCAGGUGUAGCGGUGAAAUGCGUAGAGAUCUGGAGGAAUACCGGUGGCGAAGGCGGCCCCCCUCGGACAAAGACUGACGCUCAGGCACGAAAGCGUGGGGAGCAAACAGGAUUAGAUACCCCGGUAGU